GUGAGGGAACCUCAGCUUGUCCUGUGCUGGGCUCAAAGCCACGUUGCUGCUUCUCUGGAAUUCCACACAAAUUCCUCUGCAGAAGGGAAUCCAUAAGAUGAGGCCCAGGUUUCUCUGCAGCAGUUUGCCAGUUGGUUUGAUGUUCGGUUUCAUUGUUUUCCUGCUUCGACCUGUUUCCAACCAGAAAAUCAGAAACCAGAUUUAUUUCAAGGAAAAUGAAGGCGACAUUGUGUUAAAAGGACCAGACAAUCCUUGGAGUGACAUUCUUGUCUGGGAAUGG